GCUCUGUGAGUUUGCAAACUCCAGGUAAAUAUUUUCUUCUGCUUUUUUCUUUCCCCUCUUUUAUUUAUGGAAUUCCUCUUUCUCCAGUCAUUUUACUCUCCUUUUUCAUUCCAACUCUGAAUCCUUUCCCUUCUAGUAACUAAAAUCUCGAAUUUCAUUUUAUAUGGGGCUAUAUGGUUCUUGCACUAUGGAUGGUAAAUCUCUCUCUCUCUCUCUCU
rnacentral:misc_RNA from 1 species